UAGUCCACGCCGUAAACGAUGGAUACUAGCUGUCCGGGCGCAAGCCUGGGCGGCCAAGCGAAAGUGAUAAGUAUCCCACCUGGGGAGUACGUCCGCAAGGAUGAAACUCAAAGGAAUUGACGGGGGCCCGCACAAGCGGUGGAGCAUGUGGUUUAAUUCGAUGAUACGCGAGGAACCUUACCAGGGCUUAAAUGUGGUCUGACAGCUUUAGAGAUAGAGUUUCCUUCGGGCAGAUCACAAGGUGCUGCAUGGUUGUCGUCAGCUCGUGCCGUGAGGUGUCAGGUUAAGUCCUAUAACGAGCGCAACCCCUGCCGUUAGUUGCCAGCAUGUAAUGAUGGGGACUCUAACGGGACUGCCGGUGCAAACCGCGAGGAAGGUGGGGAUGACGUCAAAUCAUCACGGCCCUUACGUCCUGGGCCACACACGUGCUACAAUGGCCGGUACAGAGAGCAGCCACGUCGCAAGGCGGAGCGAAUCUAUAAAACCGGUCACAGUUCGGAUCGGGGU
rnacentral:rRNA from 1 species